GGUGACUCAGUGGUAGAGUGCUUGCCUUGCAUGCAUGAGGUCCUGAGUUCGAUUCCUCAGCACCA
rnacentral:tRNA from 1 species